AUUCGUUGUUGUUAUUGAUGUUGUUUUGUAACUGAAGUUCUACUUAUUAGAGAUUUACUAUUUAGGUCAGACAUUUGCUGACUCAAUUUUUAAAGAAUUUGCAAACAUCACUUCCUCUGGCUCUCCCAGCCUGGGGGUAGGGCACAGAGACAUGAAUAAUAAUUGUAAUUGUGAUGAGGCUGCGUGAACUGAACUUUUAUCUUGCUGCCAUCCCCAAGGCACCAGACCUGUGGUCGAGGGAGAAACUUCCUGGCGAUUUGGGCCUGCCAGCAAUCAUUGUGAGCCGAGGGCUGCUCUUAGGUAAAGACAUUGGGCACUGGUUGCUCUUAAUUUCUUUCUCAAAUGUGAAAAAGACACAUCACAUCGGUGGUGGGAGAGGCCAUCCUCGCCUCCAAGAGAAGAGCAAUAGCAGCUAUGAGACACACACAGUCAGGUUCCAUACAGAGUCUCCAGCUGGCCUUCGUGGAGCAAGGGACUGGGCAAGCCUGCCCGGUUGUACGGUCACCCUUUGGAGGGUACUCUUUGCUGCUAAUGAUCCAUGAAGAGGGGGUUGCUGAUGCCUGAAGGGGAUCUUGGACAAAGGAGCUACACUCUGCUCUGGAUAACUCUUUGCUGGCCUUUCCCUAAACUAAAUAAACAUUGAAUACUAA
rnacentral:lncRNA from 1 species